rnacentral:rRNA from 1 species
GGGAUAUUGCACAAUGGAGGAAACUCUGAUGCAGCGACGCCGCGUGAGUGAAGAAGUAUUUCGGUAUGUAAAGCUCUAUCAGCAGGGAAGAAAGGCUCGUAAGAGAGAUGACGGUACCUGACUAAGAAGCCCCGGCUAACUACGUGCCAGCAGCCGCGGUAAUACGUAGGGGGCAAGCGUUAUCCGGAUUUACUGGGUGUAAAGGGAGCGCAGACGGUCAAGCAAGUCUGAAGUGAAACCCCACGGCUCAACCGUGGGCUUGCUUUGGAAACUGUUUGACUAGAGUACUGGAGAGGUAAGCGGAAUUCCUAGUGUAGCGGUGAAAUGCGUAGAUAUUAGGAGGAACAUCGGUGGCGAAGGCGGCUUACUGGACAGCAACUGACGUUGAGGCUCGAAGGCGUGGGGAGCAAACA